rnacentral:lncRNA from 1 species
UUCUUCAGAAAUGCGUAAAGUGUCUUCACCAAUGAAAGUGCCUCUUUCAAACUGACUUGGCCAAGAGAAGCUUGAAGUCUCAUCACUAUCUUCAACAAUUUCUGGAACCGUUCUUGCAGGUAAACACAAGAGAGGUUUAGGUGGAACCUGGAGAGCCUCUAGAGUCCCCUCUAACAUUUCAAUGACUUUGAUCAUUGCUGGACGGUGAGAUGGAUUGGUCUGAAUACACCACAGACCAACCAAUACCAUUUUCCUUGCAAUUUUCUCUUCUUCUUCUGUUAUACGAUCACCAAAAAUCCUCAUGAUUUCUUCCCUUUCAAGAUCCUUAUAGAUCCAAUCUGGAAAGUACAUUGAACUAUUGUUAGAUCCAGAAUGUUCAACUUUUUCUAUAUUUCUUGCUCCAAUCAUCUCAAGAACCACCAUCCCAUAACUAUACACAUCUGAUUUAUGUGAAACUCCUCCAAAAUUUUUUGAAAAGACUUCAGGGGCAAUGUAUCCUGCUGUUCCUCUCGCGUCCAGCAUCGACAUGAUGCUCUCCUUAUUUUUACAGAGCUUGGCAAGACCAAAAUCUGAAAUCUUUGGGCAAAGAUCUUUGUCCAGGAGUAUAUUUUGCGGCUUUAUAUCGAAAUGCACAAUCCUCGAUACACAACCAUUAUGCAAAUACUCUAGGCCACGAGAGACACCCACCGCAAUGUCGUACAACCUUUCCCAUUCCAUCUUAACUGACAUAUUCUCGGAAAUAAACUUAUCUAGGGAUCCAUUUGGCAUGAACUCAUAGAUGAUCGCUCUCUUGUUCCUUUCGUAACAGAAUCCAAGAAGAGAUACAAUAUUAACAUGAGAUGUUCUACUUAAGCUAGCUACUUCAUUGAUAAACUCUUCUCCAUUUCCCUCUGACUGCUUCAAGAUCUUUACUGCAACAUCUCGGCCAUCAUCCAGUAACUUUCCUUUGUAGACUGUUCCAUAUCCUCCUUUCCCAAGAAGAUGCGCAAAUGAGUUUGUCAUCUUCUUGAUUUUUGCGUAACUAUAUCGCUUUAACUGUACAACGGCCUCAACGUUUUUAUCAUCCCAAUCACUCUUUCUCAUCUUCUUUGCUCUCAACAUAAUCGCCAUCACAAUAAUGAUCAGCAAAAUUAAAGCUGCUGAGAUUCCUGGAAUAAGAUAAGAAGAAUCAAACUAUAGGUAGGUCUUAUGCAACGAGAGUUCUGUCACACAAAUUCAUGGAUAUGGUACCAGGUAUAAGCUUUGACUUCCAUGAUGAUUUUUCUGUACAAAAAUUCAAAAUAACUAUUGAUGGCCAAAAAAGAACAUGACAAAGUGAAUGACAAAAGAAAACAAGAUAAAGCAUACGUUUUCCUGGAAAUAUAAAGGGUUGAGACUGUGGGGCAAGUCCACUAGUUGUUGGAGCCACUGCGCUUCCGCUGGUUAUUCUUUAACAUGUGACAUAUAUUAGUUCACAAGAAGUAGCCAACAGAAAUUUAGAACAUAUAGCUUUGGAUCAUCCUAACACCAUCGGAACUAACAUAAUCCUAGAUCCAAACAUCUCUAAUGAAUGGUCACCUCUACUAACCUUGUCUUGUUGGGAUCGUAGUGGACGGGCAAACACUGAUGAGACGCGCCUCUCCUUUCUUGAGGACAAAGCAGGUGGUUGAGAUCGAAAAUUCAGUGGAAGUACCAUUGAUUACCGGCCAGACAGGAUAAUCGCAUUUGUUUUCUAUGGUAAAGUUUGUGGAACUGCUCGGCUUUAACGCUGUACGUGCCUCAACCCAAACAAACCCUUCUAGAAUAAUCCGAACAAAAGCAAAAGCAAAAGCAACAAGAAAAAAGUAUCAGCAAUAGUGACUAAACCAGAAACAUUUCCUAGAAUAAUCGGAACAAGCAUACCUAAGACGAUUGUUAGUGAAACAAGGAGGAACAUCAAUGCAACAAAUCCCUCACCCAUUGGCCUCAAGAAGAAGGAAAACGAAAGUCUUCACCAAAAACAGGAGAACAAGCCUGUAAACUGUUUUAGUCCAAAGAAAAAAAAGUCUGUAAUCUGUACAUUGACUUUGAACGUCCGAGGAGAAAGUUUUGUUAUGGAAGAAUAAAUUGGAAAAUUCAUGUGGCUAUAAAAUAUCUAAACAUAUCCUGUCUUCUUGUGUUUUCCUCCCCUUUAAUAGUUUUUUUUACUAAAACAGGAAAGUUAUAUACUUUAAAGAAAUUCUAGGUCAUCCAACAAUAGUAAUUUUUAAUAGUUUGAAACGUAAUUUCUGGUGUUAAAUAUUGGUUUAUUAUUAUGAGUUUUUAACUCAAAACUAAAUGAUAGUUAGUGGAUUGCUUUAUUUACUAUUUAAAAUCACUUCAAAUAUAUUAUAUUAUAUAUUCUCAGUAAAAUCUCCUGAAAAAUGAAAAUUUGAUAAUUGAUUUUGGUAUAUUUGCUCAGUUGAUAUUUUUGGGACAUUAUUUUCUCAGUUGUUCACCAUAUGAGAAAGAUAAUCAAUAAGCUAAGAGCUCUUCGUGAGUGAAAAAGAGUGCGCGACAUAUGUUUUAUUUUGUUCAGCUAGAUUUUGGUUUCUAGUCGUUUGUUUCGGUUGAAGAUGAUACGUGGAAAAUAAUUAAACUCCUCGGAUGGAUUGUAAAAAAAACAUUCAACUAAAAGUUCUGUGAAAUAAACCCGCAAUUUUAAUUCCGUCUAAAAAACUGUGACGAAGGAUGACAUACGUUAACGGUUUAUAAGUUUAGAGUUUAUAAUGUUGAAAACUUAGUUGAACAGUUUUUUUAUGAUUUAAAAAUAGUUGAGGGAUUUUAUCAUUAAAGUCACUAAAUGAUUUAAAAUAUUUAUUAUCAUUUAUACAUUGUUUUAGAUUAAUUUAUAAGUCUUUUAAACUAAUUUAUAAAUUUUAAUACAUUCUACCUAUCCCCAAAAAUAAUGCAUGAUUAUUUUUAUUCUCAUCGAUUUCUGAAAAAUACGUUAUAUUUUUGUUUUCUUGAUCAAUAAAAAUUAUAUUUGACAUAUUAUUUUUGAUUUAUUAUAUUACUUUAUGUUUCACUAGUAUCACGAAUAAUAUUAGAUUAUUAUAUCCUAAAAGUAGCAAAAAUUGUAAGAACUUAUAAAAUUAUUCAUUGUGAAACCGUAUUAAUCAUAUGUAAGAAUAUUAAAAUAUUUAUGAAGCUUUCUAAAUCGGUUAUAAAGUAAUGUAUUAGAACUUAUAAAUUAGUUUAAAAGGCUUAUAUAAGCAUAUCCUCUACAGUGUCAACCUGCCAGAAAGGCGAGCUGUUUGGGGAUGUUAAAGGGGAAGGGCGUGGCGAUUCCUCAACAUGCUAUCGACGCGUUUACUGAGAAAGCAACCAUACUUCAGCGAGAAGCCGCUGAUCUUGAGGUCGGCGACAUCCCGGAGGCUGACUUGUCCCUCUCACCACUUGUUAUUCCGUCUUAGUAUAUCGACGAGCGCAUUCUUGCGGGUAUCGACCUGUAUGGGUCCAAUCUCGGGCUGAUCGAUCGCUCGGUUGCGAGUAGUCUGCAGAUUCCUGGGUGUUCUGUUGGCGAUCUCUCGGGGGAGAUCCCCCGACCCAAUCCUGACGUGCAUGCUACCGUUCCUGGUGGACAAACCAACUUUACGACCGCCCCAGACGACCCCAUUUCCUAGGACCAGACUUUAGGCUGUGGGUCUCGUGUUGACGCGACUCCCACUAGGGCCUAGGAAGGGCGGCAGUCUAAUGGAGAGCACGAGGAUUGACUUGAAGACAUAGCUGGGGAAGUUCGAAGUCCUACUGAGAAAAACCGUGACAAUUGGAACAAAGAUCCGCCAGAGUUACAAGCGGAAGAGGUCGGUGGAAAGGAUGGGAGAGAUCCACAUGUCGGUAUAGAGAGACAUUGAAAUGGUUUGUGUACGGAGAGUGUUUAUGUUAAAAGGCAAUUUAUGGGUUUUAUUCAUAAGGCAAUUAGAACAAUCAAACUGUUUUUGUAAUUAUUCCAAAACGGGUAAAGAAAGUAUAUCGCAUUGUUUCCAAAAAACAACAGAAAGUAGAUUCCGUUUUUUUUAUCCACGUUAACCAACGAUGUUUGGGUGGCUGCAUAAAAGCAUAAUCUCAUAAGCAUGUAAUUAGCACACUCAAAUCAGAAAUUUUAUAAAAAUAACCAACAAAAAUAUCUCAAGAUUUCGAAAGUCGUAAAAGAUUCAGUCAGUCUCUAUGUUGACUUUAGUUUAGGAGCUAGAACAUUGAACUAUGUCUUCUUCAGAAAUGCGUAAAGUGUCUUCACCAAUGAAAGUGCCUCUUUCAAACUGACUUGGCCAAGAGAAGCUUGAAGUCUCAUCACUAUCUUCAACAAUUUCUGGAACCGUUCUUGCAGGUAAACACAAGAGAGGUUUAGGUGGAACCUGGAGAGCCUCUAGAGUCCCCUCUAACAUUUCAAUGACUUUGAUCAUUGCUGGACGGUGAGAUGGAUUGGUCUGAAUACACCACAGACCAACCAAU